rnacentral:rRNA from 1 species
UACGUAGGUGGCAAGCGUUGUCCGGAAUUACUGGGCGUAAAGCGCGUGUAGGCGGCUAUGCAAGUCGGAUGUGAAAGCCCUCGGCUCAACCGGGGAAGUGCACCCGAAACUGCAAAGCUAGAGUCUCGGAGAGGAUCGUGGAAUUCUCGGUGUAGAGGUGAAAUUCGUAGAUAUCGAGAGGAACACCGGUGGCGAAGGCGGCGACCUGGGUAGAUACUGACGCUGAGGCGCGAAAGCGUGGGGAGCAAACAGG